UGUGAACUCGAAGAGUAGGGCGGGACACGUGGUAUCCUGUCUGAAUAUGGGGGACCAUCCUCCAAGGCUAAAUACUCCUGACUGACCGAUAGUGAACCAGUACCGUGAGGGAAAGGCGAAAAGAACCCCGGCGAGGGGAGUGAAAAAGAACCUGAAACCGUGUACGUACAAGCAGUGGGAGCACCUUCGGGUGUGACUGCGUACCUUUUGUAUAAUGGGUCAGCGACUUAUAUUCUGUAGCAAGGUUAACCGUAUAGGGGAGCCGCAGGGAAACCGAGUCUUAACUGGGCGUUAAGUUGCAGG
rnacentral:rRNA from 1 species